rnacentral:rRNA from 1 species
UACGUAGGUGACAAGCGUUGUCCGGAUUUACUGGGCGUAAAGAGCGCGCAGGCGGUCGUUCAAGUCGCGUGUGAAAGCCCCCGGCUCAACUGGGGAGGGUCACGCGAUACUGAUCGACUCGAAGGCAGGAGAGGGAAGUGGAAUUCCCGGUGUAGUGGUGAAAUGCGUAGAUAUCGGGAGGAACACCAGUGGCGAAGGCGACUUCCUGGCCUGUUCUUGACGCUGAGGCGCGAAAGCUAGGGUAGCAAACGGG